rnacentral:lncRNA from 1 species
AUGCUCCUUUUCAUUUCCGCAGGAUCUGAGAACCAAUUGUGCACGUUCAUGUCCUUCAGGCCCUCUUGGUUGAGGUCCUUUGGGUCUCUGGAGAUAUAUAUAUAUAUAUAUAUGUAUAUUAUAUAUAUAUAUAUAUUUUUUUUUCCAAUUUACAGGCACUCUGAGCCCCCAUCCUGUAUAAACGUCCCGCUCAACAGCUGUCCUGAGCACCAGAGUGGAAAUGAACAAGGUUGGUCGUGAUGACUUAUAAAGUCUGAAGGGUUCAUGAAGUAGAUGGCGCAAAUGGGGAAACUGGUGCCCAGAGGAAGGGAAAUGACUCACCCAACAUUCAGGGGCUGAUCCUGGGCUAGAAACAAGUCUUCCGAGCCAGUCUUGCCAUGACAUUUGCGUUCUCUGUGACAAUGGUGAUGAUUCUAUGGUACACGGCACGGAGGACGUGGACCACAAGCAUGGCUCUUUGCCAACAGAUCCUGAAGAACAUCAAAGAUGAGAGCAGAAAAUUCUUACAAGUCAGUUACCUUUUAUGUUUAAUUACUAUGCAGUCUAAUUAUACUGAUGGGGUUCGUUAAUAUGUCAAAUUGUGUUUUAUGUUUUUAUAUCAUAAGAAGCCAUCACCCCACGGGGUGUGGGCCAAUGGCGUGUGUAUAAGGAGAGAGGACUUCUGAGACAGGGCUUGCUGCUGACUUGCUGGAGGCACAUUGCAGUACUUCCCAGGCGCCUUCUCAGGUCAUCCCGACCCCAGAUACAGGCAGACUUGUUUCCAUUUCACAGAUGAGAAAACAGAGGCCCAGAGACGUUAAGGGACUCACCUAUCGUCAUGGAGCUAGUGAACGGCAGACUGGCUCUGAUCAACGUCUGCCCUAUUCCAAAGUUGUGCUCCUCCCCGACUCUCUGAUGCCAGGUCCCUGCAGAGACAACAAAGGCUCUGUGGUAAAGUGACUGUCUCCUCUUCUGUAAAAUCCUGCCUCCUGGUUUCUGCGUUCACUAAGCAGGGCCACCCC